GGACUACCGGGGUAUCUAAUCCUGUUUGCUCCCCUAGCUUUCGCAGAUCAGAGUCAGUGAUGGUCCAGAAGACUGCUUUCGCCAUAGGUAUUCCUCCCGAUAUCUACGCAUUUCACCGCUACACCGGGAAUUCCAUCUUCCUCUACCACACUCCAGCCUGGUAGUUUCCGUUGACCUCUCCCAGUUGAGCCGGGAGCUUUCACAACAGACUUACCAAACCUCCUACCUGCGCUUUACGCCUAGUGAUUCCGAGUAACGCUUGCCACCUACGUAUUACCGCGGCUGCUGGCAC
rnacentral:rRNA from 1 species